GACCAACUGGCCUAAUGGAUAAGGUGUCUGACUUUGAAUCAGAAGAUUGAGGGUUCCAGUCCCACCUGGGUUG